rnacentral:rRNA from 1 species
UUAAGCGACUAAGCGUACACGGUGGAUGCCCUGGCAGUCAGAGGCGAUGAAGGACGUGCUAAUCUGCGAAAAGCGUCGGUAAGGUGAUAUGAACCGUUAUAGCCGGCGAUGUCCGAAUGGGGAAACCCAGUGCAAUUCGUUGCACUAUCGUUAACUGAAUACAUAGGUUAACGAGGCGAACCGGGGGAACUGAAACAUCUAAGUACCCCGAGGAAAAGAAAUCAACCGAGAUUCCCCCAGUAGCGGCGAGCGAACGGGGAGCAGCCCGGAGUCUGAAUCAGCUUGUGUGUUAGUGGAAGCGUCUGGAAAGUCGCAGGGUACAGGGUGAUACUCCCGUACACUAAAACACACAGGUUGUGAACUCGAAGAGUAGGGCGGGACACGUGGUAUCCUGUCUGAAUAUGGGGGGACCAUCCUCCAAGGCUAAAUACUCCUGACUGACCGAUAGUGAACCAGUACCGUGAGGGAAAGGCGAAAAGAACCCCGGCGAGGGGAGUGAAAAAGAACCUGAAACCGUGUACGUACAAGCAGUAGGAGCCCCACCACCAAAGCGUUUCGCUUUGCGUGGUGCGCAAAAUGCGUAACGACAGCAUGAUGGACGGUUAACGGAGCGUCAGCGACGUUCAACCUCAAAAAUCAGGCAGUGGAGCGUUUUGGGGUGGGGUGACUGCGUACCUUUUGUAUAAUGGGUCAGCGACUUAUAUUCUGUAGCAAGGUUAACCGUAUAGGGGAGCCGCAGGGAAACCGAGUCUUAACUGGGCGUUAAGUUGCAGGGUAUAGACCCGAAACCCGGUGAUCUAGCCAUGGGCAGGUUGAAGGUUGGGUAACACUAACUGGAGGACCGAACCGACUAAUGUUGAAAAAUUAGCGGAUGACUUGUGGCUGGGGGUGAAAGGCCAAUCAAACCGGGAGAUAGCUGGUUCUCCCCGAAAGCUAUUUAGGUAGCGCCUCGUGAAUUCAUCUUCGGGGGUAGAGCACUGUUUCGGCUAGGGGGUCAUCCCGACUUACCAACCCGAUGCAAACUACGAAUACCGAAGAAUGUUAUCACGGGAGACACACGGCGGGUGCUAACGUCCGUCGUGAAGAGGGAAACAACCCAGACCGCCAGCUAAGGUCCCAAAGUCAUGGUUAAGUGGGAAACGAUGUGGGAAGGCCCAGACAGCCAGGAUGUUGGCUUAGAAGCAGCCAUCAUUUAAAGAAAGCGUAAUAGCUCACUGGUCGAGUCGGCCUGCGCGGAAGAUGUAACGGGGCUAAACCAUGCACCGAAGCUGCGGCAGCGACACUAUGUGUUGUUGGGUAGGGGAGCGUUCUGUAAGCCGUUGAAGGUGGCCUGUGAGGGUUGCUGGAGGUAUCAGAAGUGCGAAUGCUGACAUAAGUAACGAUAAUGCGGGUGAAAAACCCGCACGCCGGAAGACCAAGGGUUCCUGUCCAACGUUAAUCGGGGCAGGGUGAGUCGACCCCUAAGGCGAGGCCGAAAGGCGUAGUCGAUGGGAAACAGGUUAAUAUUCCUGUACUUGGUGUUACUGCGAAGGGGGGACGGAGAAGGCUAUGUUGGCCGGGCGACGGUUGUCCCGGUUUAAGCAUGUAGGCGGAUGUUCCAGGUAAAUCCGGAACGUUAUUAACGCUGAGGUGUGAUGACGAGGCACUACGGUGCUGAAGUGACAAAUGCCCUGCUUCCAGGAAAAGCCUCUAAGCAUCAGGUAACAUCAAAUCGUACCCCAAACCGACACAGGUGGUCAGGUAGAGAACACCAAGGCGCUUGAGAGAACUCGGGUGAAGGAACUAGGCAAAAUGGUGCCGUAACUUCGGGAGAAGGCACGCUGAUGGUAAGUGAAGCGACUUGCUCGUGGAGCUGAAAUCAGUCGAAGAUACCAGCUGGCUGCAACUGUUUAUUAAAAACACAGCACUGUGCAAACACGAAAGUGGACGUAUACGGUGUGACGCCUGCCCGGUGCCGGAAGGUUAAUUGAUGGGGUUAUCCUCGCGGAGAAGCUCUUGAUCGAAGCCCCGGUAAACGGCGGCCGUAACUAUAACGGUCCUAAGGUAGCGAAAUUCCUUGUCGGGUAAGUUCCGACCUGCACGAAUGGCGUAAUGAUGGCCAGGCUGUCUCCACCCGAGACUCAGUGAAAUUGAACUCGCUGUGAAGAUGCAGUGUACCCGCGGCAAGACGGAAAGACCCCGUGAACCUUUACUAUAGCUUGACACUGAACACUGGUCCUUGAUGUGUAGGAUAGGUGGGAGGCUUUGAAGUGUGGACGCCAGUCUGCAUGGAGCCAUCCUUGAAAUACCACCCUUUAAUGGCUGGUGUUCUAACGUGGGCCCGUAAUCCGGGUUGCGGACAGUGUCUGGUGGGUAGUUUGACUGGGGCGGUCUCCUCCUAAAGAGUAACGGAGGAGCACGAAGGUCAGCUAAUCCUGGUCGGACAUCAGGAGGUUAGUGCAAUGGCAUAAGCUGGCUUGACUGCGAGCGUGACGGCGCGAGCAGGUGCGAAAGCAGGUCAUAGUGAUCCGGUGGUUCUGAAUGGAAGGGCCAUCGCUCAACGGAUAAAAGGUACUCCGGGGAUAACAGGCUGAUACCGCCCAAGAGUUCAUAUCGACGGCGGUGUUUGGCACCUCGAUGUCGGCUCAUCACAUCCUGGGGCUGAAGUAGGUCCCAAGGGUAUGGCUGUUCGCCAUUUAAAGUGGUACGCGAGCUGGGUUUAGAACGUCGUGAGACAGUUCGGUCCCUAUCUGCCGUGGGCGCUGGAGAAUUGAGGGGGGCUGCUCCUAGUACGAGAGGACCGGAGUGGACGCAUCACUGGUGUUCGGGUUGUCAUGCCAAUGGCAUUGCCCGGUAGCUAAAUGCGGAAGAGAUAAGUGCUGAAAGCAUCUAAGCACGAAACUUGCCCCGAGAUGAGUUCUCCCUGACCCUUUAAGGGUCCUGAAGGAACGUUGAAGACGACGACGUUGAUAGGCCGGGUGUGUAAGCGCAGCGAUGCGUUGAGCUAACCGGUACUAAUGAACCGUGAGGCUUAACCUU